rnacentral:rRNA from 1 species
GAUGAACGCUGACAGCAUGCUUAACACAUGCAAGUCAACUGUGGCGGACGGGUGAGUAACGCGUGAAGAACUUGCCUCUCAGCUAGGGACAACAUUUGGAAACGAAUGCUCAUACCUGAUACUGUGAGAGAGCUUUGCGUCCCAUUAGCUAUUAGGAGAGGUAACGGCUCACUAAGGCGAGGAUGGGUAGCCGGCCUGAGAGGGGGAUCGGCCACAAGGGGACUGAGGCACGGGCCUUACUCCUGCGGGAGGCAGCAGUGGGGGAUAUUGGAAGAUGGGCCAAAGUCUGAUCCAGGAAUUCUGUGUGUAAGAUAAAGUUGUCGGAAUGUAAAGUGCUUUCAGUUGGGAAGCGGUACCAACAGAAGAAGUGACGGCUAAAUACGUGCCAGCAGCCGCGGUAAUUC